rnacentral:rRNA from 1 species
AACGAACGCUGGCGGCAUGCCUAACACAUGCAAGUCGAACGAAGCCUUCGGGCUUAGUGGCGCACGGGUGCGUAACGCGUGGGAAUCUGCCCUUGGGUUCGGAAUAACAGUUAGAAAUGACUGCUAAUACCGGAUGAUGUCUUCGGACCAAAGAUUUAUCGCCCAAGGAUGAGCCCGCGUAGGAUUAGGUAGUUGGUGGGGUAAGGGCCCACCAAGCCGACGAUCCUUAGCUGGUCUGAGAGGAUGAUCAGCCACACUGGGACUGAGACAUGGCCCAGACUCCUGCGGGAGGCAGCAGUGGGGAAUAUUGGACAAUGGGCGAAAGCCUGAGCCAGCAAUGCCGCGUGAGUGAUGAAGGCCUUAGGGUUGUAAAGCUCUUUUACCAGGGAUGAUAAUGACAGUACCUGGAGAAUAAGCUCCGGCUAACUCCGUGCCAGCAGCCGCUGUAA